GACAUCUUGCUUUUGCCUACUGACAAUGUGAAAACCAAAUAAAAUCCUCUCUCAUAUCUGCAGCGGUCGUAUCCCCAGGAGCGAGGUCGUUUGAGUUGUCAACCAUCUCAUUCUCAUCCAGAUCUCGGAUCUGCUCUUCGUUACCACUACCAUCCAUGGGUUCAGAAAAAAUCACACAACGCAAGGGCCCUCGAGUUCUGUGAAUCGAAGCAACCACAGACUCGACAGUAUGGAUUCCGCAAACCAAAAUAUCACCGCAUCCAUCCUAGGAACGAGCC
rnacentral:lncRNA from 1 species